GAUUGGCUCUUUCCUGCAGCGCGCGUGUUCCCGAGGCCGCAUCGCGCUCUCCCGGUUUCAAAGGCAAAAGAGGCGCCGCUUUCAACCAGAGCCCUGUCCCUUAAUUAUACAAAUGCAGUGAUCAAAGUUAUUAUCUGUCUUGACAAAGGGAAGGGCUUUAAUUGAACGGAGGGCGUCACUACCUUUGAGGGGUGGUGGUGGGGAUGUGUUCGGUUCUCAUGGAGAGCGCCGUGACAGCGAAGAAAAAGGGAAAGCAGGAGGGGAGGCGCAAGAAAAAGGGAGAGACGGUCUUUGAUCCAUUGAGCCCAAUACUGUCUACUGUGAUUGGCAGCAGCUUUCCAGGAUCUCAGACACAGGCCUUUUCAGAACCGCCAUCUGGGAUCUGUAACUGGAGAUUGAAGCUGGGAUUUUCUGCCUGUAAAAGAAGGUGCUUUGUUACUGAGCUAAUGCCCUCAUUGCUGGCAGAGUAGUGUACCAGGGGACUGAAAAUGCACAUUAUAUGUAAAUUAUAUCCUGCCCAUCAUUCAUCAGUGAGGAAAAAAUUGAAACAGGUACAUCAAGCCUCAGGAUCAUCACAAUAAGUUCAAAGUCAAUUUCAGAUGAGAUCAGAACAACAGCAACAACAAAAAUAUUGUAUUUCUUCAUCCAUAUGGGAGAAAGCUUCUAUUUCCUGUCUUGUUAUGUAAACAUGGAUUUUUAGGAGCACAGAACUGCUGUUACUUCCUUCUACUUGAUAGAGUUAUGCCUGUCGAGUUCAGCUUCACUCAUCAGUCAUUGGGGAGACAGUUCAUGAUGACUACACAGAGAGGGGUUUGCUUUUAAACUUCAUUGAAAAUUUGUCCUCAGAAAGUCAUUGGAACACAAGAUGCUCUGAGUUCUACAAGUGAGAGAAAUCAAUUCUGUGUGGCAGGAAAAGGUUUGAAAUUCCAUAAAUACUUGCUUAAGCCACCCUGAGCUUGAAGAGUUGUUUCCCCAGUUUUAUGAUGGUAAAUAAAUGAAAUUUUAUGCAUA